ACCCUGGAAUGUAAUCUGGGCUUUCAUCACUGCAGCUGGAGCCAGGCAGGUCACCACCAGCCUGCGCCGGGCUGGGCUGCUGGUCACCAGGGAACUCUAGACCUCUGUCCAAAGCAGACUACCAGGCCUAGAGCCCAGGGAGCCAAAGGAACUGCCCACAAGAGUGAAGCAGAGGGGUGGUGGGAAAUUCCCGUGCGGCUGCUGCUGAUGUCUUGUGCCAUCGAGGCCCUGCAUAGUCUGUUGGAAGGGAAAAAACAAAAACAGGAAAGUAACCUUCAUCAUCCUCCCCUCACCCCUUUGAAUGCCAAGCAGAGGCCUCCUCCCAGCCCUGGAAGAAACCUCGGCUGUGUCCUCGUGCUGUAGCGUCGGAGAGAAAGAUGACCAGAGCCCAGCGGCUGCAUACCUAAGCUUCCAUGCUCUAGUGGCCACAUUAGAAAAAGUAAGAUGGAACAGGUAGAAUUAACUUUAAUAAUGUAUUGUGUUUAGCCCCAAGAUCUCUAAAACAUUAUCUCUUAAACAUACAUUAAUACAACAAUUUUUGAGAUACUUUACUUUCUGUUCCAGUUCUUUGAAGUUUGAUGUGUAUUUUACACUCACAGCACAUUGCUAUUUGGACCAGCCUUGGUUUGAGGGCUCAGUUGCCACAUGUGGCCCUCAAUAUCAAGGGGUGGGUAUCAAGGA
rnacentral:lncRNA from 1 species